rnacentral:rRNA from 1 species
UUUUUUUAAAAUUCUACCAGACUGAUCAGCGCACAAAUUCUAGUCUUAUUUUGUCUUGAUUGUUUAUGUUGAUUGUCCCUCUCUCUCAUACAGCGAGGAAGGAGCUAGGAUGAAGAUAUGUUGAGUUUCAACUAGGUGCUACUUUGCAUUUGGAGCUCGUGUCUGAAGAGCUUUCGAACGAGCUUAAAGGUAAUCUUCUUAUUAAAGCUUAGUUUCUUGUUUUGCUGUUUAUAACUGAAACUUUUUAUGACCAAACAAUUUUUUUAACUGAUUUUCCAAGAGUUCACUGGUAUCCUCUUGAUUCUUACUUGGCUGUCAAGAACAAAGAUUAUGGAGGUAUGCAAGCGUUAUCCGGAAUGAUUGGGCGUAAAGUGUCUGUAGGUGGCUUUUUAAGUCUGUCGUCAAAUCUUAAGGCUCAACCCUGGGCAGGCGGUGGAAACUACCAAGUUAGAGUAUGAUAGGGGCAGAGGGAAUUUUCGAUGGAGCGGUGCAAUGCGUAGAUCUUGAAAAGAUUACCAACAGCAAAAACACUUUGUGGGGCCGACACUGACAUUGAGAGACGAAAGCUAGGGGAGCGAAUGGGAUUAGAUACUCCAGUAGUUCUAGCUUUACACGAUGGAUACUAGGUGCUAUGUGUAUCGACCUGUGUAGUGCUGUAGCUAACGCGUUAAGUAUAUCCCCCUGGGGCGUACGUUCGCAAGAAUGAAACACAAAGGAAUGGACGGGGGCCCGCAGGCGGUGGAGCAUGUGGUUUAAUUCGAUGCAAAGUAAAGAAUCUUACCAGAGCUUGACAUGCAGCGGAUCCUCUUGAGGGAGAGGGGUGCCUUAGGGGAACAGCGACACAAGUGGUGCAUGGCUGAUGUCAGCUCAUGCUGUAUGGUGCUGAGUUAAGUCUCGCAACAAACGCAACCCUCGCGUGUAGUUGCCACCAUUGAGUUUGGAACCUUGAGUAGACUAUCGGUGAUAAGCCCGAGGAAGGUGAGGAUGACGUCAAAUCAUCGUGCCCCUUAUGCCCUGGGUGACACACGUGUUACAAUGUUUGGGACAAAGGGUUGCGAUCUCGUGAGGGUGAGCUAACUCCAACAACCCGUCCUCAAUUCGGAUUGCAGGCUUCAACUCACUUGCAUGAAGCCGAAAUUGCUAGUAAUCGUCGGUCAACCAUAUGGCGGUGAAUUCCUUCCCAGGCCUUGUACACACCGCCUGUCACACUAUGGGAGCUAGUUAUGCCCGAAGUUGUUACCUUAACCGCAAAUAGGGGGGUGUCGAAGGCAGGGCUAGUGACUGGAGAGAAGUCGUAACAAGGUAACCGUAUUGGAAGGUGCAGUUG